GCGGUUAUGAUUUUAUGGCGUCGGUUAAGAUUAAAGGUUUGACAGUAUGAAUCAUGAUGUCAAUAUAAACUGCCUUAAAGUGGUUAGUCUGUUUCUUUGAGCUUAUCAGUUGUCAUGAUAAUUGAAGUGGCAGGUUAACAAAUGCAACUUUAUGCACCUACCAGGAAGUCGCUAUGCAAAGCU